rnacentral:lncRNA from 1 species
CCAGUUACUGCCACCCUCUCCCAGGUCUAGAGAGGGGUACCCACGGUGGAGGGAGGUGGGAGGCCGAGACGGCCCCGGGGGUCGGCGGAGACCCAGCGGGAGCAGGGGGAAAUCGGAAGAGCUGGGGGCAUGGAGCGGGCGAGUUUGGAGCGGAAUGAGCCGGGAGCCCUACGUUGUGGAAGGAAGACAACAGUAUAGGACCAUCAGCAGGACCGGACAGAGAGGGGCACACCAGGCUGGCCUUGAACUCAGAAAUCCGCCUGCCUCUGACUCCCGAGUGCUGAGAUUAAAGGUGUGCACCACCACACCCGACAAGGAAGCCUGUUUUAAGAAGUGAUUCCAUGGAGGAGUUCUGCGGCGGCUCAGGGCUUGACUAAACAGUGGACCUCAGACAAGAGAGGCUAAACCAGGCUGCAGGUGACAGGAAGAAUUGAAUAAACUGAAAGCAAAGGGCAGCCUUCUAAUUACGCUUCGUGGCUAUGUGGACAACCUGGAGAAGUCUGGAAACAAAGAAGCCAGAAGCCCGAAGCCAGCAGUAGAGCUCUGACUGGCUUGUAUGCCUAGAAAGGAAGGGCUCUUCUUUCGCCUCACGGGCACAAAUGGGACCCACGAGCGCCGAUUUCAGACUAUUCUGAUCCCUUCAAAAAGAAAGUUAGGAGUCCAGGCUACUGUGAGUGAAUUUGAUUCUAAUUGUUUCAGAGAAUAUGGAAUAAAAUAUCUCAUUUGCAGUUGUUUA